UACGUAGGUGGCAAGCGUUGUCCGGAAUUACUGGGUGUAAAGGGAGCGCAGGUGGUUUAUUAAGUCUGGUGUAAAAGGCAGUGGCUCAACCAUUGUAUGCAUUGGAAACUGGUAGACUUGAGUGCAGGAGAGGAGAGUGGAAUUCCAUGUGUAGCGGUGAAAUGCGUAGAUAUAUGGAGGAACACCGGUGGCGAAAGCGGCUCUCUGGCCUGUAACUGACACUGAGGCUCGAAAGCGUGGGGAGCAAACAGG
rnacentral:rRNA from 1 species